GGGUUGUGAGGUUAAGCGACUAAGCGUACACGGUGGAUGCCCUGGCAGUCAGAGGCGAUGAAGGACGUGCUAAUCUGCGAUAAGCGUCGGUAAGGUGAUAUGAACCGUUAUAACCGGCGAUUUCCGAAUGGGGAAACCCAGUGUGUUUCGACACACUAUCAUUAACUGAAUCCAUAGGUUAAUGAGGCGAACCGGGGGAACUGAAACAUCUAAGUACCCCGAGGAAAAGAAAUCAACCGAGAUUCCCCCAGUAGCGGCGAGCGAACGGGGAGCAGCCCAGAGCCUGAAUCAGUGUGUGUGUUAGUGGAAGCGUCUGGAAAGGCGCGCGAUACAGGGUGACAGCCCCGUACACAAAAAUGCACAUACUGUGAGCUCGAUGAGUAGGGCGGGACACGUGGUAUCCUGUCUGAAUAUGGGGGGACCAUCCUCCAAGGCUAAAUACUCCUGACUGACCGAUAGUGAACCAGUACCGUGAGGGAAAGGCGAAAAGAACCCCGGCGAGGGGAGUGAAAAAGAACCUGAAACCGUGUACGUACAAGCAGUGGGAGCCUCUUUAUGGGGUGACUGCGUACCUUUUGUAUAAUGGGUCAGCGACUUAUAUUCUGUAGCAAGGUUAACCGAAUAGGGGAGCCGAAGGGAAACCGAGUCUUAACUGGGCGUUAAGUUGCAGGGUAUAGACCCGAAACCCGGUGAUCUAGCCAUGGGCAGGUUGAAGGUUGGGUAACACUAACUGGAGGACCGAACCGACUAAUGUUGAAAAAUUAGCGGAUGACUUGUGGCUGGGGGUGAAAGGCCAAUCAAACCGGGAGAUAGCUGGUUCUCCCCGAAAGCUAUUUAGGUAGCGCCUCGUGAAUUCAUCUCCGGGGGUAGAGCACUGUUUCGGCAAGGGGGUCAUCCCGACUUACCAACCCGAUGCAAACUGCGAAUACCGGAGAAUGUUAUCACGGGAGACACACGGCGGGUGCUAACGUCCGUCGUGAAGAGGGAAACAACCCAGACCGCCAGCUAAGGUCCCAAAGUCAUGGUUAAGUGGGAAACGAUGUGGGAAGGCCCAGACAGCCAGGAUGUUGGCUUAGAAGCAGCCAUCAUUUAAAGAAAGCGUAAUAGCUCACUGGUCGAGUCGGCCUGCGCGGAAGAUGUAACGGGGCUAAACCAUGCACCGAAGCUGCGGCAGCGACACUAUGUGUUGUUGGGUAGGGGAGCGUUCUGUAAGCCUGCGAAGGUGUGCUGUGAGGCAUGCUGGAGGUAUCAGAAGUGCGAAUGCUGACAUAAGUAACGAUAAAGCGGGUGAAAAGCCCGCUCGCCGGAAGACCAAGGGUUCCUGUCCAACGUUAAUCGGGGCAGGGUGAGUCGACCCCUAAGGCGAGGCCGAAAGGCGUAGUCGAUGGGAAACAGGUUAAUAUUCCUGUACUUGGUGUUACUGCGAAGGGGGGACGGAGAAGGCUAUGUUGGCCGGGCGACGGUUGUCCCGGUUUAAGCGUGUAGGCUGGUUUUCCAGGCAAAUCCGGAAAAUCAAGGCUGAGGCGUGAUGACGAGGCACUACGGUGCUGAAGCAACAAAUGCCCUGCUUCCAGGAAAAGCCUCUAAGCAUCAGGUAACAUCAAAUCGUACCCCAAACCGACACAGGUGGUCAGGUAGAGAAUACCAAGGCGCUUGAGAGAACUCGGGUGAAGGAACUAGGCAAAAUGGUGCCGUAACUUCGGGAGAAGGCACGCUGAUAUGUAGGUGAAGUCCCUCGCGGAUGGAGCUGAAAUCAGUCGAAGAUACCAGCUGGCUGCAACUGUUUAUUAAAAACACAGCACUGUGCAAACACGAAAGUGGACGUAUACGGUGUGACGCCUGCCCGGUGCCGGAAGGUUAAUUGAUGGGGUCAGCGCAAGCGAAGCUCUUGAUCGAAGCCCCGGUAAACGGCGGCCGUAACUAUAACGGUCCUAAGGUAGCGAAAUUCCUUGUCGGGUAAGUUCCGACCUGCACGAAUGGCGUAAUGAUGGCCAGGCUGUCUCCACCCGAGACUCAGUGAAAUUGAACUCGCUGUGAAGAUGCAGUGUACCCGCGGCAAGACGGAAAGACCCCGUGAACCUUUACUAUAGCUUGACACUGAACAUUGAGCCUUGAUGUGUAGGAUAGGUGGGAGGCUUAGAAGUGUGGACGCCAGUCUGCAUGGAGCCGACCUUGAAAUACCACCCUUUAAUGUUUGAUGUUCUAACGUUGACCCGUGAUCCGGGUUGCGGACAGUGUCUGGUGGGUAGUUUGACUGGGGCGGUCUCCUCCUAAAGAGUAACGGAGGAGCACGAAGGUUGGCUAAUCCUGGUCGGACAUCAGGAGGUUAGUGCAAUGGCAUAAGCCAGCUUGACUGCGAGCGUGACGGCGCGAGCAGGUGCGAAAGCAGGUCAUAGUGAUCCGGUGGUUCUGAAUGGAAGGGCCAUCGCUCAACGGAUAAAAGGUACUCCGGGGAUAACAGGCUGAUACCGCCCAAGAGUUCAUAUCGACGGCGGUGUUUGGCACCUCGAUGUCGGCUCAUCACAUCCUGGGGCUGAAGUAGGUCCCAAGGGUAUGGCUGUUCGCCAUUUAAAGUGGUACGCGAGCUGGGUUUAGAACGUCGUGAGACAGUUCGGUCCCUAUCUGCCGUGGGCGCUGGAGAACUGAGGGGGGCUGCUCCUAGUACGAGAGGACCGGAGUGGACGCAUCACUGGUGUUCGGGUUGUCAUGCCAAUGGCACUGCCCGGUAGCUAAAUGCGGAAGAGAUAAGUGCUGAAAGCAUCUAAGCACGAAACUUGCCCCGAGAUGAGUUCUCCCUGACUCCUUGAGAGUCCUGAAGGAACGUUGAAGACGACGACGUUGAUAGGCCGGGUGUGUAAGCGCAGCGAUGCGUUGAGCUAACCGGUACUAAUGAACCGUGAGGCUUAACCUUACAACGCCGAAG
rnacentral:rRNA from 1 species